UACGGAGGAUCCGAGCGUUAUCCGGAUUUAUUGGGUUUAAAGGGUGCGUAGGUGGCUUUUUAAGUCAGUGGUGAAAUACAGCCGCUCAACGGUUGAGGUGCCAUUGAUACUGAAGAGCUUGAAACAAGUGGAGGCUGCCGGAAUGGAUGGUGUAGCGGUGAAAUGCAUAGAUAUCAUCCAGAACACCGAUUGCGAAGGCAGGUGGCUACGUUUGAUUUGACACUGAGGCACGAAAGCAUGGGGAGCAAACAGG
rnacentral:rRNA from 1 species